GACGAACGCUGGCGGCGUGCUUAACACAUGCGAGUCGAACGGAAAGGCCCUGCUUUUGUGGGGUGCUCGAGUGGCGAACGGGUGAGUAACACGUGAGUAACCUGCCCUUGACUUUGGGAUAACUUCAGGAAACUGGGGCUAAUACCGGAUAGGAGCUCCUGCUGCAUGGUGGGGGUUGGAAAGUUUCGGCGGUUGGGGAUGGACUCGCGGCUUAUCAGCUUGUUGGUGGGGUAGUGGCUUACCAAGGCUUUGACGGGUAGCCGGCCUGAGAGGGUGACCGGCCACAUUGGGACUGAGAUACGGCCCAGCCUCCUACGGGAGGCAGCAGUGGGGAAUAUUGCACAAUGGGCGGAAGCCUGAUGCAGCAACGCCGCGUGCGGGAUGACGGCCUUCGGGUUGUAAACCGCUUUCGCCUGUGACGAAGCGUGAGUGACGGUAAUGGGUAAAGAAGCACCGGCUAACUACGUG
rnacentral:rRNA from 1 species